UGGAGAGAGCUCGAGUCCCGUCACCGCCUUCCCUUCUUCCCCACCCUUUAUAACGACAAGAUGAGCGAGUUCUUCUUGCCUGCGGCUUCCUGCGGCUUCUGCUGCUGUCGUGACGAUCCUCUCUCUUUCUAUUUCUUUUGCGAUAUGACUAUCGACAGGAUUCAGAUCUGACAAGGGAGGCUUUGGGGUGGAAUUCCUUGUGUGGAGGGGAAAAAAAAGGGAAAGAAAGAUCGAGAUUUAAGGUCAAGAAAUGAGACUUAAGGAGAAUGAGAAAACGGAUGGUUGACAGAAGAGAGUGAGCACAGGGCGGAGGACAAUGGUAUGAUACGAUGCUGUUUCCGUUGCGUGCUCACUUCUCUUCCUGUCAACCUUUAUUAUCAUCAUGAGCUCCACCCUCCGUCGCCUCUUAGCGAUGAAAGGGAAAAAGAUACAAAAGAUGAGAUCUUUAUCUCGAGCGUUUUUUUGACAUUUAUUCAUUAUUAUUAUUAGGUUUGCUGCAGCUGUUCGUCUCUCGUUUCUUUCUUCUCUUUCUGUUUGUGCGUGUCAGAUGUUGCGUGAGCGUACAACGCAGCGGAUGAUUUCCAAGGCCGGUUGCGAAGUAAUUGCUUGUACGUACGUUUCUCAGUCGAACUGUAUCUUUCUUGCACCGCGUCUGGAGAAAUUAUUGCUUUCUGUGGUUUCUUGUGACGGUUGGGGGAAAGUUUGGGGAGCAGAACAAGCUGUAUCAGUUGAGCUUUGAAAGGAAGAGCGCGACUUUUGAGGUGCGGGAGGCGACCGUCCGUCUCUUCCCUCGUCGAGAAUCGGACCAGAUUUGGGUCGGAUAGAGGAGGCGAGCACGGCGGGUACAUGCAUUUCCUGCGCACUGUGCGGGACUAACGAAACCACUGUUUGACUGGUCCUUUCUCUUCUCUCUCUGCGACUUCCUGGAAACAUUUUCUCUCCUCUUUGUGUAGUUUGUUCUUCUGUUUCUAGGUGGAGUGAAUUGGAUCACUGGAAGGAGGCGGUUCCUUGAAGAACUUCUUUAUGCUCUCAAGACUGGAAGCAAUAACAUUGAUGCUUGAAAAUUCCUCCAAAAAGAUAAGAUUGCUGUGAAGCUCAAGUGAAUCAUCAGGAUUCUGUCCUCACUGGACUAGAUGAUAUAGCAUGAUGACAGCAGAUGCAUAUCACAUCGGAUGUCUAAUGUUCUGCACUUAUGUUCUGUAUUUUAAGGGGAAGCAUCGGCAGGUGGUGCCUGUGCAAGGAAGCCUAGCGUCAAGUGGUCUAAAUGCUUUCAGGUGGGAAGUAUGAAUCUCUAGUUUGCUGCAACCAGUUGAUUGAUGCUGAGCUAAAAACACGUCUUUGAAUACUGAUUCUACUCUGUGGGAUUAAGGAUUAGAAGAACAGAUGUGUUGAAGCGUUGGAAUUGUCCUCCCACCAAACCCGCUCUUCUCCGGUCACGGUGGCUUUUGUAUGCCAUUGAGGUUUGUUUCUUGCUUUAUACAUGUAAAAUCGACUGUCUUCCUCACUCGAAGAAUGCCUGUGGUUGUGUCCUGACUGAAUAAAAUUAAGUUGGUAAUGAUAGUAGCAGUAGCAAUGUUCCCAAAGAAUAGAAUUCCUUUGAACAGUAUGUAUUAUGUUCAAGCAGGCUGCUAUUCGUCUAAUAAAUUGUAACAUCAA